GCCUACGGCCACACCACCCUGAGCACGCCCGAUCUCGUCCGAUCUCGGAAGCUAAGCAGGGUCGGGCCUGGUUAGUACUUGGAUGGGAGACCGCCUGGGAAUACCAGGUGCUGUAAGCU
rnacentral:rRNA from 1 species